UACGAAGGGGGCUAGCGUUGUUCGGAAUUACUGGGCGUAAAGCGAGUGUAGGCGGUGUGGUAAGUCGGAUGUGAAAGCCCCGGGCUCAACCCGGGAAGUGCAUUCGAUACUGCCACGCUAGAGUAUCGGAGAGGUUGGUGGAAUUCUCGGUGUAGAGGUGAAAUUCGUAGAUAUCGAGAGGAACACCGGUGGCGAAGGCGGCCAACUGGACGAAUACUGACGCUGAGACUCGAAAGCGUGGGGAGCAAACAGG
rnacentral:rRNA from 1 species